AGCGUAGACGGCGAAGCAAGUCUGAAGUGAAAACCCAGGGCUCAACCCUGGGACUGCUUUGGAAACUGUUUUGCUAGAGUGCUGGAGAGGUAAGUGGAAUUCCUAGUGUAGCGGUGAAAUGCGUAGAUAUUAGGAGGAACACCAGUGGCGAAGGCGGCUUACUGGACAGUAACUGACGUUGAGGCUCGAAAGCGUGGGGAGCAAACA
rnacentral:rRNA from 1 species